rnacentral:ncRNA from 1 species
UCGAUCGCGAGGUCGAAUCUGAAGGAAGUCGGCGGCAAAUCUCCGGCCCGAGGAACACGAAUCUCAUAGAAGGCUAACGUUCGUUGGAUGAGGCUGCUUAACAAGUCGAAGUCCUUACUGCCGAAGGCGGAUGGGAGUAAAUGAGACGGGUAGGUGGAGAGGAAGAUAGCGUU